AGAGGAACUGAGAAAUGAAAAAGAUAAAACACAGAAAACAAGGAGCAAAAUGACACCAUUCGUGUGAAUGGACUAAAUUUUCCUAGCAAAAGCUUGAUGAUUCUGCUGCCCUCCUCUGAAGAUGUGGAUGGCGACCUCGCAAUCUCCCUGCCAUUCUAAAGCACUAUUCCCAUCUGUGGGUGCCAUCGCUGCUGAGCAGGGCUUUGGUAUCACAUAGCACAUCUGAAUUUUCAGGACAAGAAUCUGAGGCACUCAUGUAGGGAUCACAGUCAGUGACAAAGCCCUUUUUACCCCUGACCCACCCACAUCCAUGGCAGAUAACAAGCAGAGCCAGGACUCCAACCUCCUAGAGUCCAUCGCUGAGACACUGCUGAGUGGGCUGGACAGGAAGUGGGCACCACCAGUGGACUAGCAUGGAGGGUGAGGCGCAGCAGAGGGGACCAGCCAGCAGCCUGAGGCCACACUGGGGCAAAGAUGGGGCAUCUCUGGACCUGCUCUCCAAUGUUGAUCCACCAAUGUCAGGCCAGAAGCAGUUGUACAGUCAACACAGCAUGUGAUUUCAGAGAAGUACGGAUUGUU
rnacentral:lncRNA from 1 species